rnacentral:rRNA from 1 species
UACGAAGGGGGCUAGCGUUGUUCGGAGUUACUGGGCGUAAAGGGCGCGUAGGCGGCCCUCCAGGUCGGGCGUGAAAGCCCACGGCUCAACCGUGGAAUUGCGCUCGAGACUGAAGGGCUCGAGGACGGGAGAGGAUGGUGGAAUUCCCAGUGUAGAGGUGAAAUUCGUAGAUAUUGGGAAGAACACCGGUGGCGAAGGCGGCCAUCUGGACCGUAUCUGACGCUGAGGCGCGAAAGCGUGGGGAGCAAACAGG